CAGUUUGGCAUACACUUACAACAAUAAGUUAGUUCUAAAGGGUAAGGUUAAUGUAUCGCAAACUGUUGCUUUCAUGUUCAAAAAUUUGAUUUCCAAAACUGUUGACCAUAAAUUACAGUUUCGAUAACCCAUACCAAAGAAUAACAGUAUAACAUAAUGUGCUGACAUUGUUAAAUGAUUCGGGGAUGCAAACUCAGAUUACACGGUAGAAAUAUGGGAUCACAGUAUAUCAAAUGGUGAGCUUUCAUGUUUCCGCAACACACCCACACCAAUACAUUUCACUAUUUAAUACAUUUGUUGAACAGUAUCACAAAUAGUAAAACUUAUUUGUAUCUGUGAACGAUUUGAUUGGAUCACGAAACGUAUCAUUCGUUGCCUUCGUUGCUGAACAUAAAAACAAAACAAAAGUCUCACAGCGUCAUGUGCAGAAAAACCACGGGAAAAUCCGACUUCCAAUGGCUUCAUUGGUUAAUCCAGCAUCGGACAGGACGAAAUUGGAUGUUACAGGAUACACAUCGGCUAGCCGGAAGCUCCCUGCCGGGUUGCAAUCAAUUUCUGGAGGCAAACCCCUGAAUAAUAGUGCAUCAUGCCAGAAGAAAUGUACUUCCUCCCAGAUCCUGGGAACUUCCGUGGCAACAAUCCAUCAGAAUUAACAACAGCAGCAGGACCCGCUGCGGCAGCUGGAUACAAGGCAUGAUCUGAUUGCGGCAGUCAUUAAUAGACGUACGCCGGAAACCAUCCGGCUUCGGUAACCAUCUUACGGAUCGAUCCAUUCAUGGUUGUGAUCGUGUCCGCGGCGCAUUAGGAUUCCGGAAGUGUUUUUCCUAUUUUCAGUUAUCGCUACUUUGUUCCUGCGUUCAAUAAAAUAUACGAAACUCA